GGAGCGUGGGGUUUCGCUCUCGGGAGUGGUGGCUGCUGUCAGAAUCCCUUCCUUGAGGAGGCACCUGCUCUUCCGCUCUUCUCCAGCUUUCCAUGAGGUAUGGGGAGUAGCUUGGUUGUCCCCUCACUCUUACUAGAUAGAAAUCAAGAAAGCGCCUUGAGGCGAGAGAAGAGUCCCGUCAGGAGGCCCAGUGGAGUCCUCCACACUCCACGGUCCCCGCCUCCGGGAAGGCCGCGCGUGGCGUGGGCAUAGCGCGGAAUCCUGGCUCCACUGCCCACCUGCCGGUUGACUUUAGUCGACGCCAACCCCAGGCUGGUGAGGGGUCCAUGAAAUAUAAGGCAUGGGAGCCACCCGGCGCGUCGUUAAGCAGCGUGAGAGACCGAAAGAUGAGUCUGAGCCAGUCUCUUAGGAGCUUCUGGUCUCGCAGAGAGGCGGGAGCUAUGAUCAUGGAUCAAAGGACCUGAAUAUGGAGAAUCCUACUUGGCCAGCAUAUCCACACAGCAUACGUCAGUCAAGGCCACAGACAUCAUGGCAGACGGAGUCUCGUUCUGUCCCCUAGGCUGGAGUGCAGUGGCACGAUCUCGGCUCGCUGCAACCUCCGCCUCCCUGGUUCACGCCAUUCUCCUGCCUCAGCCUCUCCGAGUAGCUGGGACUACAGGCGCCCACCACCACGCCCGGCUAAUUUGGGGACCUCAAUUUUUAAGGAGAAUCUCUUGGCCAAUUUACUUGGCUAUAGAGAACCGUGCUUAAAUGAAUUACACUUAAUUACACUUAAAUUGGUUCCACUUAAUUAUUUCUUAAGGAACCUAUAGUUCUUUAGUUUUCAAAGAGAUCCAAGGUCAAUACUGAAUCCCAAGGUCUGACUCUCCAGGCUCCUUCAACAGCUUUCCCGGCAUGCAGUUUAAAAACACACCCACCACAAAUUUCAGCUAUGGCUUAACUAAAGAACAAAACGUGCUAGCCCUAUUGUCCACUUCCUCGCUAUCAAAAAAACCCUUUGUAAGUUCCAAUCCAGGUGUUAUUUCCUAUUUUCCCCCCUGCUUUUUUAAGCACUGAUUGUUCUCCGAUGCUGGCUUUUUAUGGACUUAAUAGUCUGGAACAUGCAAUCGAACAGUCUCAAUAUAACCCUGGACCUCAAUUUAGAAAAUCAGUUCUUUUCCAAAUAGACAUCCUACAUAGGAUAAUUUUUUAAAAACAUUAACUGGCAUUUUGGUAGAAGCAAUUGGUAAAGUCAGUAACACCAAAAUAGUUCUUUGAUUAAAAACAAGAAAGCUGACCUUGA